GAAGAAGACAUAUGCUAUUUCUACAAAAAAUCUGUCAAGGAACCAACAUGUUGAACCUAAAAGAAAAUCCAAUGUUGAUAAUGGAUGCUUC